AAGGACCAAGAAGGAAAAUGCUUCUAUCUUCUAAACGGAGAGUAAAAAAAUACUCAAGUUGAAUUAAAAGGCAGGUGACGGGUUCUAAAGGCUUGCCAUUAUCCACAUGCCAACGAGCAUAAAAUGCUUUCUUUUUCGGCUUCUCGCCAAACAUAUUUGUCUCUUUCUCCACUACCAAAAAACACAAAGAAAAAGAAACCCACUAAUGCUAAAUACCAGCUACGCUAAUAUCCACCCUAAAGCCUAAACCUCAAGUAAAACAGAAAAACCACCACCAAAGACAGGGAGCCUAAAAAAAAUAAAACAAAAAUGGCCUUGACAGCCAAUCACCACCCAAUCAACCUCCCCCAAGUCAAGGCUCAGAGCCGCACCCAAAAUCCCACCCUCUGCGGUGGGGUUACCCAAUACCCACAAAAACAUGAUAAACAUGAAAUUUUAACCAAUGAUAGAUUAGAUCGAAAUGGGCGCCAUUGAAGUCAGAAGGAAAAAAAGGAGGUGGACCUCUUUGUCAUAUAGGAUGGUGCGCAACUUAUCACGCACCACCCCCCCCCCCCCGGUGCACGUUAGCCCCCCCACUCACGCACACCUAAGCGGUGGCCUCAUCCAUCUAGAUCUCAAAAUCAGCCGCACACCCCUCCAACCCCCCCACCCCCUAAAACAACCAAUCAAUAUGUCACCAAACCCUACUUUCUCCUCCACCUCUCCUCCACGCCCAACAUUAUCUCCCGCUCCACAAUUAUUCUCCUCCUCCCCCUCCUCCCCUUAUCUUAGUUUUCUUUCCUCGCAGCCCCGGAUCCGUCUUGCUAAAGUGCACCGCUUCCCUUAUCCAGCACCCCAAUCUACCACGCGCCCAACAUCCUUAGCCUACUCUGUGACCAGAAAUAUUCGAUUAUGUUGAACCCAUCUUCUCCCUCACCCCAACAGGACCUACCAUCGAACACGUCUCCACCACCAUCAGAACCGCCGCUGGCUCUCCCAGCACCGCCAACAUCCACAUCUACGCCAUCAGCAACCACCACCGUCACACCCAACCCUAGGCGGCUCCCACCGCCUUGUUGGUCACACGAUGAAACCGUUGCCUUAAUAGACGCGUACCGCGACAAAUGGUACACGCUUCGUCGCGGGAACCUCAAGGCCACACACUGGCAAGAAGUGGCGGACGCAGUGGCUCGACGCUGCCCCAUGGCGACGCCUCCUAAAACGGCCGUGCAGUGCCGCCACAAGAUGGAGAAGCUCCGAAAGCGGUAUCGAACAGAGAUCCAGCGGGCUAGAUCCAUGCCCAUUUCGAGAUUUAUUUCUUCUUGGGUCCACUUUAAGCGCAUGGACGCUAUGGAAAAGGGACCUAAUGUGAAAUCCGAUUACAAUUCGGAUAGCCCAGAUGAGGAAAAUGAUGAAGACGAAGAAGACGACCAAGAUCAAGACUUUUACGAGGAUGGGUAUAAGAAUGGAAGCGUUAAUACGAGAAGUGUACAAAAGUUGUACCGAAAUGGGAUUAGAAACAGUGGUGGAAGUGUCAGCGGUAGUGGCGGUGGCAGCGGCGGUAGUAGCGGUGGCUUUAGGAUUAGGAUUCCUACUGUAGUUAGUAUAGCGCAGCCAGGGCCAAGAUUUUAUGGAAAAAUGGAUCAGAAAUACGGUGCAAAUCCUACUUCCAACCCUCAACCUACCGCGAAUCCUCACCCUAAUAAGGGUAAUUUUGGUGUGUCAGGGUCCGGAUCGGCCUAUGGGACUAGGGUUUUGAGGGGAUUUGAAGAGACACCAGGGAAAGUAGCGGCGUCAGGGAAGAGGGAGAGAGAUGCGGUAACGGAGAUGGUGUCAGCUAUAAAGGUGUUGGGAGAUGGGUUUGUGAGGAUGGAGCAGAUGAAGAUGGAGAUGGCAAGGGAGAUAGAGACGAUGAGGAUGGAGAUGGAGAUGAAGAGAACUGAGAUGAUAUUGGAGUCACAGCAGAGGAUUGUGGAAGCUUUCGCCAAGGCAGUUUCGGAGAGGAAGAAGAAGCCCAAAAGAAUGCCCUCACCGGAGUCUUGAGAUGGAUUACAUGCAAUAACGGAAAUUGGGUUUUCAAUCCUUUGGCUACGGACCUACGGAUGUGUAAGUGUUAUUCAUUUGUUUCUCUGCUCGCUAUGAAGAAGAAAUCCUGACAAUUUUGUAGAUGACACAGAACUUUUACUUUUAUUGAGUAAGAUGAUGUAGGAUUCAGCAUGCAGCUAAGGAUAUGUGAUAUAAUUCCAUUUUGACUAGAUGAAAACGGAAGCUACCUAUGGAUAUGGUUUUUUUAUUAGAGUUUAGUGAAUCGGUUAUCCGUCGGUUGUAUGAUUCAGUACAUCAGGAAAGUUUAUUUUCAGGAGCUAAUAAAGUCUUCAAAGCCUGGUGUUCCACAAUGUACGAGUCAUUCAUACUACAGGUUAAGAUGCUCGGAAGAUUUUCUGACUUGUAUUGUUCUUCAAAUCAUUGUAGAACAGUUUGGUUUUCCUUAUGGCUGAUAUCAAAGCUGGUCGAAUAGCCAGGCAGAUUGCUUCCCCUUUGCUUAAAAGCUUAAUUAUGUUUCAGUUUGCGGAUAGAUGCACUGUAUUAUCUGCAAUAUUUAAUCCUAAUCUAAUGGUCUUCAUAAUCAUCGUGCUGUACCAGAGAUUCAAUGGUCCCAUAGCCAAGUUCAUGUGACAUUUGCAUGCAUGACAUGAGGUUAAGUUGUGGAGCAUCAAGCUUGAAUACCGGAUGUUCUUAAACUAGAUUCACGAGCAAGUUCUGUUAUGUGUUUGCUCUUGCUCGCUUGCACUCAAAGCUCUUACUUGUUGCAUAACUUUCUUACCAUAUUUAAUC